AACGAACGCUGGCGGCACGCCUAACACAUGCAAGUCGAACGAGACCUUCGGGUCUAGUGGCGCACGGGUGCGUAACGCGUGGGAACCUGCCCUUAGGUUCGGAAUAACUCCCCGAAAGGGGUGCUAAUACCGGAUAAUGUCUUCGGACCAAAGAUUUAUCGCCUUUGGAUGGGCCCGCGUUGGAUUAGCUAGUUGGUAGGGUAAAAGCCUACCAAGGCGACGAUCCAUAGCUGGUCUGAGAGGAUGAUCAGCCACACUGGGACUGAGACACGGCCCAGACUCCUACGGGAGGCAGCAGUGGGGAAUAUUGGACAAUGGGCGAAAGCCUGAUCCAGCAAUGCCGCGUGAGUGAUGAAGGCCUUAGGGUUGUAAAGCUCUUUUACCCGGGAUGAUAAUGACAGUACCGGGAGAAUAAGCUCCGGCUAACUCCGU
rnacentral:rRNA from 1 species